UUAGCUCAUUUUCUGGGGUGAUUUCUAAAUACAAGCGAAGGAUUUCACCUUGUGAAUUCCAUACGUUUUUCACUUCCUCCAUUGUAGAAUUCAGUUCGUUCACAGGAGAUUCCACGCGUACGGUACAGUUAUGUCUUUUGACAACAUACCAAAAACGCAUACAUUCCUGAGGAUAGCCCAGUUUUUCAGCAACAAUUGGGAUAAACUCAGAAAACUUGGCCUCCUUUUUAAUGCGAAAUUGAGGUAUAGUUUCUUCUUUGUAAGCAUUUCCAAAAUCGGCAAUAUCAAAUUCAUGAUGUUCACUGUAAAAUUCUGGAGUGAUUAAUUGCACUUUAGUAUACAGAUGGCUCUCUAGUCUUUCUUUUCUGCGAAGUUCAGCAAGUUGGAUACUGGGAUUCAAAGCUUCUUUCAAAUGUUCUGGAAUUUCAUCAGCAGAAACUGGAUUCAUGAGUUCAUCUAAUUUAUCUUUGCGCAAAUAUAAAAGCAUGUAUGCACUCAUGAAUCUUUUUAGUUUGACAGGAGAUCUAAAAGGAGGAUGCAUGAUAUAAUCACCACCAUAGUUCUCUUCUAAAACUUCUCUCAAAGUAGCCCUGGUGACUCUCGUGUCAUCAUAUUUAUACCAAGGACCAUCUUUUUCUGUUUUUAAUAACGCAUAGUAAUGCCCAUUAUGAAGAUCACCAGAAUGGACCAAUACACCGUAAAGAACAUACUCACAAUUCUGAGACUGAUCGGCUUCGGGACUUAAAAACGCUUUAGCAUCAAACUCUAAUGGAAACUCGUAUCGAUCGUUUAUUUUUAUCAUC